AGUUAAUGAACUUGUAAAGUAUAUAUUUUGAAAAUAUAAAAAAAGGUUUUAAUCCUUAUUAACUU
rnacentral:tRNA from 1 species